UACAGAGGGUGCAAGCGUUGUUCGGAAUUAUUGGCGUAAAGGGCGCGUAGGCGGUGCGGUAAGUCUUUUGUGAAAUCUCCGGGCUCAACUCGGAGUCUGCAGGAGAAACUGCCGUGCUUGAGUAUGGGAGAGGUGAGUGGAAUUCCUGGUGUAGCGGUGAAAUGCGUAGAUAUCAGGAGGAACACCUGUGGCGAAAGCGGCUCACUGGACCAUUACUGACGCUGAUGCGCGAAAGCUAGGGGAGCAAACAGG
rnacentral:rRNA from 1 species